rnacentral:ncRNA from 1 species
AGGCCAAACCGUAUGCGUGUGAGACCCGGCAGGGGUUGCGUAUACGGGGUUGUGGGAUCUCUCUUUCACGGUCUGCCGGCCGUGAGACGAGUCAGAAACCGUUGAUGUAGGCGAAGGACAUGCGAAAGGUCCGGCGUAGAGGGUAAGACCCCCGUAGUCGAAACGUCAGCGGCUCGUUUGAGAGACACCCAAGUAGCACGGGGCCCGAGAAACUCCCGUGUGAAUCUGGCGGGACCACCCGCUAAGCCUAAAUAUUCCCUGGUGACCGAUAGCGGAUAGUACCGUGAGGGAAUGGUAGAAAAGUACCGCGGGAGCGGAGU